rnacentral:sRNA from 1 species
UUCAUUUCUCAACUCGUCUUAAGAUAAAGCAAAGGAUGGCAUAAGACAGGCAAUAGAGGGAAGGAGUUUAAGUUGUUAUUGGUGCAUAUAACACAAUGAAGAAUCAAAGCCACGUCUCCACUGAUCACUCUAUCAGAGUGUGGUUAGAAGCUGCAUGCCUACUUCAGAUCACUACAAGAGUUCCUGUUGUGCCAUCAACUGCUAAUGAUUUUAACACUGAGUAAGUCUUUCCAACUGUAGUCCCGCAUGACAAAUACCACAUGACUGGCAUCCAAA